CAGGGAUCUUGCAGCGUCAGUUCUGGAGAUCAUCAGGAUAUCUUACCACAGGAGUUGGGGUCUUUUGCAAUUGCACCAUUGCAGUACACAUUAUGUGAGGCUGCAUCUCACAACCAGCCAGGAAAACUCUCGCAGACACCAGACUAUCCAUGGCCAUGCCGGGGUCUGGAGGAAUCCAUUGCUUUGCUGAACUGGGGCACAGGCAUGACAAGCUCUGAAGGUUGCCAGAGAAUUCCCAGCAAAAUGAGUUGUGUUAAUUCUGCUGGCAGGGAUUUUUCAGCAAGCCUGUGCUUGAUUAAACACCUUGAUAACUCGUUAGCUUCCACUGAUUGACAAAUAGUUGGAGGAAGCCAAGCUGCCCUGGAAGGGGUUCUUGGACAAGAGGUGCAGUGGCAGAGUGUCAGCUGCUUCUGGAGGGGUCCAGAGCAAAGGAGGUGAUUGCAGAGAAAGUGGCUGCUUCCUAUUUUGACAGAGGAGUUGAUCUGUGUAGCCAAGCUCACUGUGGUGGAAGCCAUUGUUGACAGAAAUACCUGGUGGUGCUGCUGCCUUAAUCUGAGAUGGGAUGCUGGUCAUGUCUAUGGAUCCUACCUCUAUCCAUGGUGUCGCAAAUGUGUCUACCUGACUAAUAAAAUCAUGCAGUUGAAUUGCAAUGUGUCAGUGUGCUAUAGUUCCCUGGUAGUCCACAGAAUUCCUUCUUGACAGGCAUCUCUCAAAACUAGUGCUGGGGAGGAGAGUGGCAGCAGCUGAUGGCAUGUAUGCAUUCUGAACUGUAAAUGGGAUGUUCUGCAACUUGUUCCUUCGAGCCAAUGCCCAUGGCCUUAUCAGUUAUGAGCUGCUGGUUCUGGAGAAAGAAUUGUCCAGGAUUACUUGGCGGGCAAGCAGUUGUAUCUCUGUUUCCUGAAAUUAAGGCUUUUGAGGAGUUCGGCUGGAAAUCUCAGGGUGUGGGGCUGCAGGCUGAACUUCUUAGUCCUGCUUGAAGCUGAGUCUUUAGAAUAGACCCCAGCCUUGGGACCUGAGCAGAGGUGAGCUUAGCAAACGGAGCUUGUUACCUUCCAAGUUAAGGAACACUGCACUAACACAAUGCACAAGAAACUUCUAAAUCUGACAUUGAAUGUGUUUACUGGCAUGGACUGUUGAAAAAUCUGUCAACAGGACAAACAUUUUUCUUCAUGAUAUUGGAAAUUUACUAUCUAGAAUCUGCUUUUUCUACUCUAGAAGGCAAGAAAAUUGGUGGAAAAAGCGGGGAAAGAAGGGACAAUGUAGUCAGAAAUAGGCAUAGUAAAACUGAAGUUUUUGAUGACAGCAUGAAGGGAGGCUUGCCACCACGGACUUUAAAGCACGAGAUCAGUCUUACCACAAACUCUUGUCUUUGUGUGUUUUUUUUUUGUUUGUUUUUGCUCUGUUAAAAAAGUAGAGAUGCUAAUGCAUCUUCUUCCUGAAUCUACCUUUGGGUUAGAGUUAUCGUUGAGCUUUCUUUCUCCUGUAUAAGGGAUAACAAUAGGCAGGCAAGUCUAUGUCCAAGUCCAAAGAUCUUAUAGGUGCUCAAUCCUGUUGAUGACCUCUUCAGAAGCUUCUCUCAGUACUAAUAGAUUAAAGAUACUUCUAAAAGGCUGCUUGCAUUCUUAAACCCCAGUAGAACAAAUGAAAAUUAAGCUCAAAUCUGCCAGCCUGCAGAAUUAGGCUUCAGGUUUUCAUACUCUGUAGAUUUGGCUUGACCAGCCUUUCCUUCUGGCACAGGAGUACUGUUGUGGAACUAGGAUGCCAUCUAGUGAUGUCAUAGCAGAGAACGAAGUAGCUAGAGCUAUCUGCUGUGUUAAAUUCUUGAUAACUUCCC